AGAUACCAGAAACCUGCCAUCAAAAUCAUUUUUGUAGGAGCAGAAAAUAUAGAACCGGGCAGAAAAAAAAAUUCACAACAUAUAUUAGCAUGCAAAAGAAAAGGAAUGAAAGAUGCAGUUCUUUAGAUUCAUAGCAAGUUUAAGUUAAAAGAGACAACACCGAAGAGUUUAAAAACAGAUAUCCUUCACCUUCUGAUUUGAACUGCAUUAGAUUCAGGCACACUUGACACUGGCAUAUUAAGAUAUUGAAGGGUGAUGAUACACCAAAAACAGAAAUAUCUAAUAUAAAUUAUUUGGUUGACAAAUGGUUUAUUUUCCCACCAUGUUAGUAGGUUGAUAUCAUCUUACAGACAUUUAGUUAUUCUACUUAAUACUAGUAGAGAUGCCCAAGGGAACUCCAGUAUCAACUUGUAUGUUUUUGGCUUGGAGCUGAGCAGCAAGGCUAUUACUAUCACGCAGAGAAAUACAAAUACCGAAGCCUCAUAUAUGAUAAUGAAUUUCCAGCAUAGUGAAACAAGAAAUUCAAAAACUAAUAGAAGACAUUCAUCCAUUAACUGCAAAGAAAACGAAAUGCAGUUGUCGGGAACUAUUAAGUGAAUUUAUAGUGCAUCCAGUAAAAAGAGCUCCACCACAUCAGUAAAUAGUUUGAAGCCAGAGAAAUCGUUGCAACAUUUUUUUAUUUUUUUUUCAGUUCUGAUAGCAUCAUCUGCAUGCACCAGAGAUGCAGCAAAAUCAGCAUUUAUUGGGCCAAGGUUGUUCACAUCAGGAAGCUGAUUCCAUCCUUAAGACAACAAAUCAAUUACUAUUUAUAAGGAAAAUAGAUCAUAACCAGAAGAUUCUCUACCAUGCUAAUGGAGAUCUGACUUGUUAUCCACAAAUUGAGGAGGUUGGGGUUGAUAUGAUCAAGCAUGAGGAACUAUGAGAGCUCAUAAACAAUGAAUCCAGCCUCAAUGCAACUUUUCCAACAAACUAAAAAUGAGACUGAUAGGCAGCAAUCACAUAUAAGUAUGAAACACACUAAGGGGUCAAUUCAAAAUGAAAUGAAUUAUUAUAACACAUUGCAUAUAAUCCCUUGAAGAGCCCCAUUUGGUUAAAAUCUUUCUAUGUAUUGACAAUAAAAGAUGAAGAAAAAAAAAACUUCUUCUGGCAAAUAGUACUUAGUAACUUCU